AGCAGCUUGGAAUAAAAAUGUUCACUUGGUCCUUCCAAGUUUUGGUUUUUCAGGUUGAAAUUUGAGUUUUCAGUCCUCCUUCCUACGCCCGUGAAGCUUGAAAGGUACUGUAGACGUCGAAGACGAGCGGGGGCUCGGGAGCCUCCUACAACGGUUCUUCUGCCUGUGAUUGUGGUAGAAGCAGAUUAAAAUGGCUGUGCUGAGGUCCUUGAAGGCACAUCAUCAAAAUGCAUGUGUGACUCCUCAGCAUGUCAUUCCAGGAGAAAACAACCCACAGUGGGAGCAGGGUGACAUGGCUGCUUCUCAGCCUCCUCAAACACAUGAGGAAUUCCCAUCCUGAAUCAAUGACCUUCAACUACUGAACACAUCCCCUCUGUGACAGAUCAACCUGGAAGGCACCCAUGUCCAACACCCCUGUAGGGAUGAGCUCAGAGGGUGGGAUAUCAAAAAAGAAGGUAAAUGUAGGCUUUAGGUUCAUGUGGCUGCAGCAUCAGCUCUGUAAACCAGAGGUAAGAAAAUGCACAUUUUACUGGUCAGCAUAGCUCAGAGAGUUCUGACAAAGGAGAGAGCACACAGAACACAACUGCUUACUACUUUGGUACAGAAUUUUUACAGUUUAAAUGCACUAUGGUAUUUGCAUAGAAAAAAACAUGGAAGGUAUAUGUGCAUUGAUGUUUGCAAAAUUUAAUGUUCAUUUAUGAUCAUUUUCACAUAAUGAUUUAUGUAUUUUUAUUUUUGCCAGUAAUGUCACAGCAGUGAUGACAUGUCCUCCCAGGUGCCUCAGUCACCUGAUAUCCAUUCUUCCAGUCCACCUGAUAAUCAACUCACUGAGGUGCUCAUCAUUAACGAGGGUCCAGCAGGGAAUUAUCAAGAGAUGUACUCAAAGGAUCACAUUUCAUCUGGAAACUCCCCUCUUUUUUGUUUCUCUUUCCUUUGGAAAAUGAAGGCCAUCCAUUCAUUUCAUAGAAAUUAUUGGCUUUACAGGUGGAGAAUUUAAUUAAUCAGAUCUCCUGUUAAUUUUUAUUAUAUUCUACACGUCACAGACUAACUCUACUUUUUGUAUUUUCAAGACUUUACAAGAAUCAUAUUAAUAUAUGUUCAGUCAGUUAAAUUUCUAAGUAUAGCUUUCCACUAAUGAUACCCAGAAAUAUUAAAAGAAAUAAAAAACUAACACUAGCUUUAACUUUUUUAUCAUCAUCUGUGUUCCUAUACUUACUGUAUUUAUAAAACACAAAGGUCAUCAUCCACAAGUAGUAGUAGAUUUAGGAGAUUUACACAAUGACAAAAUAAUGUUCAUUGACAUGAAAAUUCUGUUUUCUAUCACAUUUCAUUUGUACUUAGUUUCCAUAUGUAUGUUGUCUGUCUGCAUAAAAUGUUAACAGUUGAGAUACUUAGUCUUUGUACUCUUAAGAUGCUUUCAUUCUUCUGUUACAGAAACUGCCGUGGACAUUCAUGAGGUGUUUGGUGUAUUUGCCUUUUUUUGAAAAGUUGUAGAUCAAGUUUGAGUAAAAGUCAAGGUCUGCCCUUUAUGUUUCAGAAAAUAUUCUCAUAACAGAGGAAGAAUAAUCUUAUUCUAAGAUUACGUGUACAAAUUUUCAAAUAAAAUUGUGGUCCUGUGUUUCUUAUUUAUUUAGAACUAUAAAUCUUAUACAAGUCCUUCAGUUCAAUGUCAUGUGUGAAUUAUUGUAUGGUUUCCUUUUUGUGCUAUUCGGCAGUAUGGCACCUGACCAAAGACACUGCUGUCACUAAUAAAAAGUGAGCUUAUUAAAGAUGUGAAAAUACAGGCCCCAUCCCAGAACUUCUAAAUUAGAAUCUGCAUUUUUACAAAUCUACAUGUCUUUGUUGUCUGAAUUAAACGUGAAGUACUUACACUUUCAACUCACCAUGCCUUUUCCAGCUGUGAAAGAUCCACAAUUGAUCGUGAAGGAGAAAAACACAAUACUCAACAACUCAUAUACCUGUGUCUAUUCCUUCAUUUCAAAGUUUAUUUUCCUGAAAAGAAAAGUGUCUGCAGUGGAUUUGUGGACCUGUGUCAUCCUCAUUUCUCAGUGUUAUAAAAUACAUUAGAGAACAUUUUGGGUCAAUAUAAUUUUAUGAGAUAAUUCAGGAUAUGCUCCUAGAUCAAAACCACUUUUCCUAACACUGUUUUCAUGUUGGAUGACAGUACGAAGUUGGUCUGUGGCUCCAAUGUAAGUGUGUCCUUUUAAUCAGGGAUCAUUGACCUUCAGAGAUGUGGCCAUAGAUUUCUCCCAGGAGAAGCUGGAGUUCCUGGACCCAGCUCAGUGGAAAUUGUACACAGAUGUGAUGUUGGAGAACUACAAGAACCUGGUCUCCCUAGGUGAGGAUGACUGCCAGAUUUCCUGCUCAACCUGCAGAGUUUCAUUUUCUUUAUUUUUCUUUCUCAUUUGCUUUAUUUACUUUUUGGUGUUACAAGGAAUAAACAAAAAUGUCAAAAUUUUUUCCAGCUUGGCUUGUGUGGCUCAGUGGAUUGAAUGGCAUCCUGAGAACCUAACUGUCACUGGUUCAAUUACCAGUCCAGGCACAUGCCUGGGUUGCGGGCCAGGUCCCCAGAUGGGGGCACUUGUGAGGCAACCAAUAGAUGUUUUUCUGCCUCCCUUUCCCUCUCUCUAAAAAUAAUCUUUAAAAAUGUUUUUUUCCAUACAUUUUCAUUUAAUAGAUUUAGAGUUACUAGCUUUAUGUUUAUGUCUUUUCUCCAUUGUGAUUUAAUAUUUGCAUACUAUUUAGGUAAAGGGUCCAAUUUCACUCUUUUACAUGUGGACAUGUAACUUUCUCACUAUUAGUUAAUGAGAAUGUCCUUUUCUUGUGGUAUAAGCAUUCUGGUUGGAGAUCUUCUUUAGUUACAGCCAGAAAUAUUGUAUACUUUAUUUUUGUUGAUUACAGAAAGAAGAAGGAAGAUAGGGAGACAAACAUUGACUUGCUGUUCCCCUUAUUUUUGCAUUCAUUGAUUGCUUUUUGUAUGUGUUCUAACUGAAGAUCAGACAAACCAUUAUGUAUAUCAGGACUGUCCAAUCAACUAACCUGCUCAGUCAGAAUGAGAAUACUUUUCUUAAUUUUUAGAAUAAGCACACUUGUUGGUCAUUUGACCUUAUCCAGAAGUUGUGUAGGCUCUUGUCCACUGUGCUUCAUUAUUUAUAUGUCUUAAUGUUUGUAAUAUACUUUUUUGAUAACAGCAGCUUUGACAUGUUUUAAAAUUAGAAAGCAUGAUGCCCUUAACUGUACACUUCAUUUAUAUAAUUAUGUUGGUUGCAUGGUACCCUGUAUUAAUUUAAUUUUUGUAAAUAUUUUAUUUAGUUUUAGAGAGAGUGGAAGGGAGGGAGAAAGACAUGGAGAAACACUGAUAUGAGGAACAUUAAUGAUUGCCUCUUACAUGUGCCCCAACGUGGGCCAAACUGUAGACCCAGACUUGUUCCUGACUGGGAAUUGAACUGGCAACUUUCAGAUUUGCAGAGCAGCACUCAGUCCACUGAUGUGUCAGCUACAUCAGCCAAGGCUGACUGCAAAUUCUUGGAAUGUUUAGAUCAUGUUGGGUACAACUGAGGCCUUAUACUAUUAGCAUUCCAGUUUAGGAUCAUGGGAUAAAUUUUUUAAGUUACUAGCUAAUUAAUCCUGUCAUGAAAAAUCUGCAUAAUCACCACCAAUAAAGUGCCAGAAGAUUCUUCUUUUUGCCAACACCACAUUGGCUUUCGCAGUUGCCUUGACAUUGUUCAUUGUGCUUUUGCAUUCCUAUCACUGUAUUCCUGAGGCCUUUUUUAUAUGACCCAUGUCAUAUAAAUCUUAUGUUUGGGGGGUUAUAUUUUUAUCAAAUCAUAAAUCAUAAAGCCAGUUGUCUUCCACCACCAAAAUGGGUUCUGAAUCCAAACACAAAGAUGACAUCUGGUGUGGCCAUACACAUUUUGGCUAGUUUUUCUUGAUUUUCUUUAUUGCAUGUUGUUGACUUACCAGGGUGAAGGAUGUUAAUGACCACUUGUUUCUGGUGAAAUAGUCUAUUGGUCAUGAACAUGCUGCUCUAGAUAGUUACUGUGUUAUUCAUGAUGGCGGUUGAUAUUGAAGACACCUGCAAAUUUUUCAUUUAUGGAUUUCUUAAAAAUGACCAGCAAUGUUUUAUACUUUCCUCAAACAUGUUGUGCAUGUUUUUCGUGAAGAUAAGUCUUAAAUAUCAUUCUGAUUUAUACCAUUGAUAAUGUUAUUACAUUCUUGUUUUUGUGUGUUAAUUUCUGUUAAUGUAAAAAAAACAACUAACUUCAUGGGCUGCUUUUAUAUUUUACAGUUUGAAAAAUGUUUCAUUUCUGUCAUUUUUUUAACAUGGAUGCAGUAUGAAUUUUGCAGUAAACAAUUUUGU